ACGCAGGAUAAGUUACAAUAUAGCUGUUAAGUGCUGUAUUGUCGUUCCCCCUGCAAAUAUUAAAUUGCUUCCUACUAUCCCUGUCUGUUUUGAUUUUUCUCCGGCAGUCAGGGACGCUUGGUCUCAAACAA